CCUACGGGGAGCAGCAGUGAGGAAUAUUGGUCAAUGGCCGCAGGGCUGAACCAGCCAAGUCGCGUGAGGGAUGACGGUCCUAUGGAUUGUAAACCUCUUUUGUCAGGGAGCAAAGGGCGCCACGUGUGGCGCUUUGCGAGUACCUGAAGAAAAAGCAUCGGCUAACUCCGUGCCAGCAGCCGCGGUAAUACGGAGGAUGCGAGCGUUAUCCGGAUUUAUUGGGUUUAAAGGGUGCGCAGGCGGAAUGACAAGUCAGCGGUAAAAUUUCGGGGCUCAACCCCGUCGUGCCGUUGAAACUGGCGUUCUUGAGUGAGCGAGAAGUAUGCGGAAUGCGUGGUGUAGCAGUGAAAUGCAUAGAUAUCACGCAGAACUCCGAUUGCGAAGGCAGCAUACCGGCGCUCAACUGACGCUGAGGCACGAAAGCGUGGGGAUCGAACAGGAUUAGAUACCCUGGUAGUC
rnacentral:rRNA from 1 species